AUUGAACGCUGGCGGCAGGCCUAACACAUGCAAGUCGAGCGGUAGCACAGAGAGCUUGCUCUCGGGUGACGAGCGGCGGACGGGUGAGUAAUGUCUGGGAAACUGCCUGAUGGAGGGGGAUAACUACUGGAAACGGUAGCUAAUACCGCAUAACGUCGCAAGACCAAAGAGGGGGACCUUCGGGCCUCUUGCCAUAAGAUGUUCCCAGAUGGGAUUAGCUAGUAGGUGGGGUAACGGCUCACCUAGGCGACGAUCCCUAGCUGGUCUGAGAGGAUGACCAGCCACACUGGAACUGAGACACGGUCCAGACUCCUACGGGAGGCAGAAGUGGGGAAUAUUGCACAAUGGGCGCAAGCCUGAUGGAGCCAUGCCGCGUGUAUGAAGAAGGCCUUGGGGUUGUAAAGUACUUUCAGCGGGGAGGAAGGUGUUGAGGUUAAUAACCUCAGCAAUUGACGUUACCCGCAGAAGAAGCACCGGCUAACUCCGUGCCAGCAGCCGCGGUAA
rnacentral:rRNA from 1 species